rnacentral:lncRNA from 1 species
CUUAAACCUAGUCACUCUUAUCUUGUUCUGUUAUUUCUUCAGAGGGAGCUGGCACGUCAGACGCACAGUAUCAUCGAAUAUUACUGCCGACUGCUUCAGGAAGAUAAUUUCCCACCUUUGCGCACUGCCCUUUGCAUUGGAGGAAUGUCCGUCAAAGAGCAGAUGGAAACCAUCAAACAGUAAGUUCUGUGCUUUAACCAUUCGCAAAUGACAAUCCAUUUCUAACCUUCCCCUGUGCCUUUUUGUACUGAUUUAAACAUGUUUUACUCAGGCUAUAGAUGGUGCCUAAUGUGAGUUAUUCCAUAAUAAGUAAAUCCGUCAGGUUUUUUUAUACACAUUUUCCUACUGCCUUUUCUUCGUAGUGCACAUUACUGUAUUUAUACUCUGAAGACAACACAAAUGUUUCUACCGAAUGACUUUGUACAUAUGUUUAUUACUUGUUCAAGUUGUCAUUGGGACUUAACACGCAUCCACAGUCUAUCCCCUUUAGAGGCAGGGUCCCAGUGUUUUGGGGUGUUGUUUUUUGUUUCAGCCUAUUUAAUUUUUUAUUCUAUGUUGUAUGUGUACUUUGUGUCCAUUAGCAAAGGACAAGCUAAGUUUAGCUGUUUACAAAUUAAUAUCGGUUCAUAUUCGCAUGUGGAAAUAAUUUGAGUAACACAUCUGACGUAUACAUUGACAGAGUACAUGUCUCGGCCAACUUAUUCCUGGGCAUGGUGUGAAUAAGAAGGUAAACACCUGCUGAAUUCUGUCAACACUUAGAUUCCGUAAACACAUUCACACCUGCUUCUUACAGCCCAUUGACAUUGAGUAUCAGAGUGGAAAUAUCCGUUCCCUUCCUGGUCCAUCCUUUGUGAAUCAAACCAAAAACUUUAAACUAGUUAGUAAUCGCAUUUCUCACUACAGUCCGAUCUGCCUGCAGUGAAAUAAUCAAUCAUAAUAACUUUUAACCACUUGGAUACUUCUCUGAGUAAUGCAGUGCAGACAUAUAGUGUAUUUGUGGCAAUUGCUGCAAUCCUCCAAUCCAAUACAUUUGUAUGAGAAGCAAUAGCCACAUUUGCAGUCAUUAUUGAUAAUGCCGAAUGUGAAGUGCUUUGAAAAUCUAAGGAUGUAUAAGAGGAAGUGACUGGUUAUUUUUAAUAACAUGUACGUAAUACCAUUUCUAAAAAAUGGCAUUAUUUUACUUUAUCAGAGAAAAGGGGGCAAUGUCUAUCCACAAAAACUAAAAUAUUACGCUGUAAUGGUUUUGCUGCUUAAUAUGUCUCUUUGACCCCUUUAAUCCUGAGCACUAAUUGAUUGAAUAAAUGAUUAUCAUGAUUAAAUAUAAAAAAUAAAAUAUUUGGAGAAACCAGAAGCUUAAGACAGUAUACGGUGUUCUUUAUCUUUCAAUAUUUAACACAGACAGUAAGUGUGGCAAAAAUAGAUAAAAGGGUCAAUUGCUUUGCUUAUAGGUAUUUGUAAGGGCCCUGAAGACAUUACUAUCAGAACAGCUUACUAAAAUUGUCAACAGAAUGUAAAAGGAUUGUCUGCAUUUGAGCAGAUUGCCCAUAUAUAGUAAAUAUUUACCUAUUUUAUGACUGGUCGGACUUACAACCAGCUCUGUAGCAUGGGGUUUCGAAGGAUUCCCCACAUUAGAGAGCUGGUCUAUGUUCGGGGAAUUUUCCCUAAACAUAGAUUUCAGAGGUUCCCUGUGCUGUGAUAUUUUUGAUGGUAUUAAUAGUACAACAGUAAUAACCCCACCCUUAUUUCUCUUACCUCAAUGUAGGGGUGUACACAUGAUGGUUGCAACUCCUGGCCGACUUAUGGACCUGCUGCAAAAGAAGAUGGUGAGUUUGGACAUCUGCAGGUACCUGGCUCUGGAUGAGGCUGAUCGUAUGAUUGACAUGGGCUUUGAAGAAGACAUUAGAACCAUAUUCUCUUACUUCAAGGUACUUCUACUUAUUCAAAUUAUUCAUUAACUUGGAAGCAAUUGCACACGUAUUUAUCAGGCAUAUGUUCCGUUCCAACAAAACACGUUUGAUGGCAUGAUCUGCAGUGUAAUUAUGAAACAUUUCUUAUUGACAAAUAUUUUAAACUUUCUUCCUAAUGUUGUCAAUGCAUUAAAUAUUUUCAUAGUUGAAGAUAAAAUAAAAUUGUUUCAGGCAUAGAUCUUAUUAUACAUAUUAAACCUGCAGACCUGAUUGCUGUCAAGGUCACCUCAGUCUAUAAUCCUUUUAAGGUUAAUAUAAGUACUAGUUUAAUUCAAAUGGCCAAUACAAUCCUUCCUAGUAGGAUCCUCUCUUUAUUUAUUUAUAUUUGUGACAAUGUCAAGUAUAUUUCUUUAAAAAAAAUAGCCCUUUUCUCUCUCUACAUGGAGUAUUUGUCUUUUUGAGAGCAUAAUUAUUUACUCCCCAAACAGAUUAACUGUAUUUUAUCUAUUUUUAAAAAUGAUUCUUUACUGUGUUCUUGUAGCAAGUAGCAUGCUUUUCAUUUUCUUGUCCUCUCAUAUUACUAGGGUCAAAGACAGACACUGCUUUUCAGUGCAACCAUGCCGAAGAAGAUUCAGAACUUUGCCAAAAGUGCCCUAGUAAAACCGAUUACAAUUAAUGUUGGCCGAGCAGGCGCUGCCAGCCUGGAUGUCAUACAGGUAUGUCAACGUCAGUCUCUUGCUGGACAGGAAUGGAAAGGCUGCCAUUACAGAUUACUUGUCAUAACACUUUUUUUAGUUUUACAAGCGAAAUGUGGGAAGAAUAUUACAAACUCCAUAAGCUGGCAAGAUAGCCAAGUUGGUUAUUGACCCUACUGUACUAUUUCUUUCACCUCUUAAAACGUCAGGGUUGCAUUUCUAGAAGAGUUCACUCUGCAUCUGAACAAUCCAAAGUCAAUACAAUUAGUACUAUUGAUUUAGACAAUAUUAUCUCAUGACAUAAUAGAAAUCUACAAAUCUAACGGUAAAUCCUCUAUUAUUUUGUUUAUUACAGGAAGUAGAGUAUGUGAAGGAGGAAGCAAAGAUGGUUUACUUACUUGAAUGCCUGCAGAAGACACCACCUCCUGUGAGUAACACUUGUAAUUCAUUGCCAUCAUGCUUACACACAACAAAUUGUGAUCCGUGCAGAUUUAGCCUAAGUAUGAACUGCAGGCGAAUGGCUUGUUUGAUCUGUCGUCCUGCUUUUUGAGAGAAUAAAAGGGUUACCUACUCGCUUUUAAUGUUGGGCGCUCUUUGCAUUCUAUAUGUACCCCAUAAAUACUAAAUGUAAAGAGUUAAAUUUUUUUAAGUGUCUCAUGUCAGAAUGUUACCAGCACAUAUACAAAAGUAUUUGCAAAAUGUAGUUUUAAAUCUUGAUCUGUUCCUAACUUGCAAUGAUUUCAGUUACUGAUUUUCACCAUACACUACUUUGGUUCCCAAUAGUGUGCUAUUGCAUUGGCUCUAUAGCUUAUGCAAAUAUGUACUUAUUCACUAUCAGCUGUUUCAACCGAUUUCUUCCCUAUGCCAGGUUCUCAUAUUUGCUGAAAAAAAGGCAGAUGUAGAUGCUAUACACGAAUACCUGCUUCUCAAAGGAGUUGAGGCUGUGGCAAUACACGGAGGGAAAGGUAUGCAUCUUUAACUUUUGCAUUCAUUCAGUAUCCCAGCUGUGUUUCCUCAAGCACAGAUCUAAAUCUCUUAGCUGUACCUUUUAGACCAAGAAGAAAGGACCAAAGCAAUCGAGGCUUUCCGUGAAGAGAAGAAGGAUGUCCUAGUAGCUACAGAUGUUGCAUCCAAAGGUUUGGACUUUCCAGCCAUUCAGCAUGUGAUAAACUAUGACAUGCCUGAGGAAAUUGAGAACUAUGGUGAGUGCAGAAUGUAGUCUAAUAUGACUAUCUAGUCUCUUUUUGGUUGUGUAAAUGCCACAAUAUGUAUUCCGGGGUUUGUUGUGAUUACAGGAACACAAACAUGUAUUCCUGAAUCUAUAUCGUUAAAAACACUAUUUAGCUCUCUUGGCUCCCCUUGCCACCUUAAAUAUAGUAAAAACUCACCUUAUUGCCAGCGCCAUUCCUGAUACGUCUCCUUGGCUGAGAUCAUCAGAAUUGACUAUCUCAGCCAAUCACAAUGCUUUCCCAUAGGAAGCUUGAGUAAUUAUUUUAUACUGAAACUGCCCAUUUAGGUUUCAGUCAGGCUUCAUACUUUGCAUCACAGUGUUGCCUGAUAUGCAUUGUUGUCAAGAGUUUGUGGCACAGAAGCACACAGUGUUUUAAAUGCUCCAGAAAACACUAGUACAUCAACAUUGUAACAUAAUUUGUUUGUUUCUUUCAGUUCACAGAAUAGGACGUACCGGUCGUUCUGGGAACACUGGAAUAGCAACCACGUUUAUCAACAAGGCGUGUGGUAAGUGUGUGAUAAAUCUAGAUUUGUCUCUGGAUGUGAGAUUUUCAGGAAACCUGUUGUUUACUCAAAUUACUUGUGCAUGCUAACUAACAUCUCAACAGAUUUACUGCAUUGCUGUUUAUGUAUGUUAAGUACUACAGGAAAUGGAAUUUCAUUAACUGAAAAUCACCAAAUAAUGCUUCUCAUGCACAAUAAUGUUUCUAUUGUAGUGCAGGUAGUUUUAUUGUGUUUGGUCUCACCACAAACUGUUUAGCACCUAGUUAUAUCCUGUCAGAGACUACAACUACCAGACCAGAACUGGUGCCAUGCUGACAUGACCCAUAAGGUUGAAACUGUGCAGUCCAUGGCUAGGUUCUGGUCACCGAUCCUUUUGGAUCAUACCCCUGCUUUGGUUUAUGAACGCUGUGUUUAAAACAGCCCCCGUUGCUUACGGGUAUCUGCGGAAAUGCAGUAUGAAGUCUGAAACAUGAUGCCUGUCUGUGCUCAUUUGCAUGUCAAGCUGGGGAUUCUGGGAUAGUUGUGCAAACAUGAUUUCUGUGCCCAAGGGGUGCUUCUCAAAGUCCAACUUGAGAUAUGCAGGUAAUGCGUAAUCGUAAUGUUUCUAGUUUCAGCGUCGGGAGUUUUAUCAUGUUUGCUCUCACCACAAACUUUUUGGCACCUAGUUAUAUGCAAGAGUGUGAAAGUAGUCGUCAGUUCCCUUUGACCUGCCUGCCUGUUUUUUAUUUGUUUAUGUCUAUGAACAAGAUACAUAUUGACAAUAUAGGAAGCGUUACAGGAAUUUUGAGAUCCUGUAUUUGUUUCUGUAUGUAUUGCUGUAGGUUAGUCAUAAUAUGUACAUUAACUCUCCUGGUGCUUGCAUUAUUCUUUUAGAAUUUUUUUUUUUGUUUUUUUGUUUUUUUGUUUAUUGAAGUGUGGGGUUAAACAUUUGGAUUUUUCCCCUUUGUUUCAUGAUUUCCCUCCCUUUCAGAUGAAUCUGUGCUGAUGGAUCUUAAGGCUCUUCUCAUGGAAGCGAAGCAGCGCGUACCCCCUGUGCUACAGGUACUCAACGGCAGCGAUGACAACAUGUUGGACAUUGGAGGUAAGCAAUCCAAUUCAAUGUGCACUUCACCCAGUAACUGCCAUCAGCAUUGUCACACAAAUUGCUUUCUGCAUCCUUCUUUUAACCCCUUAAGGAAUGUAUGACGGUCUAUGCUGUCAUGCAGUGCUUAACGUCUGGUGACGGCAUAGACUGUCAUGCUUAAUGUACCCACAAGGAUAGAUUCCUGCUGGUACCAAGGAGCCCUAGGCACAAUUCAAUACCUGAAGGUCCUUUCUAUCAGAUGGGACCACGAUUAGUCACCCCAGACUGACAGAUGGGCCGUGCUUUAAAUCUCUUCAGCUGAGCUAUCGCAUUCAUGAUAACAUUGUGGUAGAAUUAGCACAUGUGAGAUCACAGGUCACAGGUUCGAAUCCCGGCAGGUAGAUAAAAUGAGUACCAUUAAAUUGGGUAAUAGGUAAUAUGGAUGUUGGAUGUUGGGUUAAGGUAAUAUGCCCAGGACCUACUUGAAAACCAGAGUAAUCUAAAUGUGCCUUACCUGGUAUACUUCGUUGUUAUUAUUAUGAGUUUGUUUUUAUUUCCGUGUGCUCUACUACCUGUUGGUUGCUUCAUAUUUAUUGUUCCUCUUUUCAGAUGAAAGGGGUUGUGCUUUUUGUGGUGGCUUGGGUCAUCGUAUCACCGACUGCCCCAAAUUGGAGGCCAUGCAGACAAAGCAGGUCAGCACCAUUGGAAGAAAGGACUACCUGGCCACCAGCUCCAUGGACUUCUAAGGAGGAACAUCCAUCAGGAUUAUUUAUUAGUGGUGUCUGCAGGCUGAAUUGCUAUGAACGUCUAGAUCAUCACAGUGCUUGUUAUUCGUAUUGUACUACACUCUGUGUAAUAUUCGUAGAUACAGAGACUCUUCAUUUUGUUGAAACAAAACACGUAGUUCAUAGUAAGGCUGGCGAUGCACUUUUCCAAUAGUUCAUUAAAACGGACAAAAGACUUGAGUUUCUGUGAAACGUAUUUAGUACCAAGGGAUUUAAAGGAAUUGAUUCACAAAACUGCUCCAGUUUAUUUUCACUUUAAUUUGUUCUUAUAAAGCUUUUUGUCUGCUGAAAAAAUAUAUUCCAUAUCCCUUUCUCAUUUUUCUAUGCUCUAUUUAUGCAGCAAGAUAGUUUAAAAGUUUGAAAUUGAAUCACAGAGAACAUCAAACAUGAUUGUAUUUUCCACAAGCACUCUAUUUUUCUUUUCCUUUCCAUCUUGUAUUAAAACAAUAAAUAAUUGAAA